rnacentral:rRNA from 1 species
UACGAAGGGGGCUAGCGUUGCUCGGAAUCACUGGGCGUAAAGGGUGCGUAGGCGGGUUUUAAGUCAGGGGUGAAAUCCUGGAGCUCAACUCCAGAACUGCCUUUGAUACUGAAGAUCUCGAGUCCGGGAGAGGUGAGUGGAACUGCGAGUGUAGAGGUGAAAUUCGUAGAUAUUCGCAAGAACACCAGUGGCGAAGGCGGCUCUCUGGGACGGUACUGACGCUGAGACGCGAAAGCGUGGGGAGCGAACGAGG